AGUGAACGCUGGCGGCGUGCUUAACACAUGCAAGUCGAACGAGAACGGAUUAUAGCUUGCUAUAAUUGUCAGCUAAGUGGCGCACGGGUGAGUAAUGUAUAGGUAAUAUGCCUCUUACUAAGGGAUAACAAAUGGAAACGUUUGCUAAUACCUUAUACUCCUUAUUAACAGAAGUUAAUAAGGGAAAGAUUUAUUGGUAAGAGAUUAGCCUGUAUUGUAUCAGUUAGUUGGUGGGGUAAUGGCUUACCAAGACUAUGACACAUAACUGGUUUGGGAGGAUGAUCAGUCACACUGGAACUGAGACACGGUCCAGACUCCGACGGGAUGCAGCAGUGGGGAAUAUUGCACAAUGGACGAAAGUCUGAUGCAGCCACGCCGCGUGGAGGAUGACACACUUCGGUGCGUAAACUCCUUUUAUAUGAGAAGAUAAUGACGGUAUUAUAUGAAUAAGCACCGGCUAACUCCGUGCCAGCCGCCGCGGUAACAC
rnacentral:rRNA from 1 species